rnacentral:rRNA from 1 species
UAAGGAAUAUUGGGCAAUGGUCGGAAGACUGACCCAGCCAUGCCGCGUGGAGGAAGAAGGGCUUAAAAACUCGUAAACUCCUUUUGAUAGGGAAGAAAAAACUAUUGCGAUAGGAAUUGACGGUACCUACAGAAUAAGCAUCGGCUAACUACGUGCCAGCAGCCGCGGUAAUACGUAGGAUGCAAGCGUUGUCCGGAUUUAUUGGGUUUAAAGGGUGUGUAGGUGGAGACAUAAGUCGUGGGUGAAAGUCUAAUGCUUAACAUUAGGACUGCCUGCGAUACUGUGUUUCUUGAGUAUAAAUAAGGUAAUUAGAAUUAAUAGUGUAGCGGUGAAAUGCUCAGAUACUAUUAGGAAUCUCAAUUGCGAAGGCAAGUUACUAGUUUAUUACUGACACUGAGAC